rnacentral:rRNA from 1 species
CUAAGAAUAUUCCGCAAUGGGCGAAAGCCUGACGGAGCGACGCCGUGUGGACGAUGAAGGCCUUUGGGUUGUAAAGUCCUUUUGUUUUUGAAGAUGGAUUGCGAUAACCUCGUAAUCUGACGGUAUUAGACGAAUAAGCCCCGGCCAAUUACGUGCCAGCAGCCGCGGUAAUACGUAAGGGGCGAGCGUUGUUCGGAAUUAUUGGGCGUAAAGGGCGUGUAGGUGGACUUGCAAGUCGGAUGUGAAAUUUUCGAGCUCAACUUGAAAACUGCGUUCGAAACUACAAGACUAGAGUAUAGUAUAGGGAGACGGAAUUCCUAGUGUAGGAGUGAAAUCUAUAGAUAUUAGGAAGAACACCGAUGGCGCAGGCAGUCUCCUGGACUAAUACUGACACUAAAGCGCGAAAGCUAGGGGAGCAAACG